rnacentral:rRNA from 1 species
GACGAACGCUGGCGGCGUGCCUAAUACAUGCAAGUCGAGCGGACUUUCAAGAAGCUUGCUUUUUGAAAGUUAGCGGCGGACGGGUGAGUAACACGUGGGCAACCUGCCUGCAAGACGGGGAUAACUCCGGGAAACCGGGGCUAAUACCGGAUAAUAUCUUCCUUCGCAUGAAGGAAGGUUGAAAGGCGGCGCAAGCUGCCGCUUGCAGAUGGGCCCGCGGCGCAUUAGCUAGUUGGUGAGGUAACGGCUCACCAAGGCGACGAUGCGUAGCCGACCUGAGAGGGUGAUCGGCCACACUGGGACUGAGACACGGCCCAGACUCCUACGGGAGGCAGCAGUAGGGAAUCUUCCGCAAUGGACGAAAGUCUGACGGAGCAACGCCGCGUGAGCGAAGAAGGUCUUCGGAUCGUAAAGCUCUGUUGUCAGGGAAGGACAAGUACCGUUCGAACAGGGCGGUACCUUGACGGUACCUGACCAGAAAGCCACGGCUAACUACGUG